AUUCCCAUCGUCUAGAGGCCUAGGACGAAACCCUCUCAAGGUUUAAACACGGGUUCGACUCCCGUUGGGAAUGCCA
rnacentral:tRNA from 2 species